rnacentral:misc_RNA from 2 species
AAGGGAACGCUGGUCCAACCAGCAUCCUCCAACCCCAUGUGUACCCGCCUUGUUGCCUCGGCGUGCCUGCGCCGUCCGUGGCGCUGCCGGCUUCGGCUGGAUAGCGCACGCCAGAGGGAUUUCAAACUCCAGCUUUUAACGAGUUGCAGUCUGAGCUUUAAGCAAAUACGUUA